GACGUAGGGUGCGAGCGUUGUCCGGAUUUAUUGGGCGUAAAGAGCUCGUAGGCGGCUCGUCGCGUCGACCGUGAAAACCCGCGGCUUUAACUGCGGGCUUGCGGUUGAUACGGGCGGGCUAGAGUUCGGGUAGGGGAGACUGGAAUUCCUGGUGUAGCGGUGAAAUGCGCAGAUAUCAGGAGGAACACCGGUGGCGAAGGCAGCUCGCUGGGACGGUACUGACGCUGAGGCGCGAAGGCGUGGGGAGCGAACAGG
rnacentral:rRNA from 1 species